CCGACGGCCGAAAAUUAAAAAGGUGUGUGAGAAGUACAAUGGGGUGUGUGGAUAUCACACCCCGUUAAAACUAUUAUUUACUACCUCUCCUCUACUAAAUAUACAUUAAUAAUAAUAUGUAUUGAAAUUGAGUAGGCUAUAAGCAUGAGUUUACAAAAGAAUAGAUCUAUUCACAAACCCAUUUUUACUUCCAACACAUCUUUAUUAAUAUUUUGUCAGUGAUAAUUUUCAAUUCAUUCGAUCUGAACAACCGACAAUUAAGAGAAGUGUGUAAGAAGUAAAAAUAAAUGCAUGGAUAAUACUAUCCUUACAGAAAACCUCCUUGGGCUACAGCCCACCUUAACCUUGUGAAUGGCUACGCCAUUGCUACCAUCCCAUUUAAUAACAUCCAAAGUCAUUAUGUGGGUGCUAACACUAUUAAUAAGACAAAUGUCUAUUUGUUAAUAUUGUUUGAUAUAAGCCUACCAAGAAAAAACAUUUAAAUCAUACAAAGAGACAAACUUUUCACAUUCUCUCACACCCAACAAAAGUCUGAUUUAACGGAAGAAAAAUCUCACAAUGUGGACAAAUUUUUAAAAGCCAACAAAUACUUUAAAUAAACAAUCAAAUCUUUAUGUAUUGUGAGAUGUAAUAGUGGUGGUUGUUAUCAUUACAAAGU
rnacentral:lncRNA from 1 species